UAUUGGACAAUGGGCGAAAGCCUGAUCCAGCCAUGCCGCGUGUGUGAAGAAGGUCUUCGGAUUGUAAAGCACUUUAAGUUGGGAGGAAGGGCAUUAACCUAAUACGUUAGUGUUUUGACGUUACCGACAGAAUAAGCACCGGCUAACUCUGUGCCAGCAGCCGCGGUAAUACAGAGGGUGCAAGCGUUAAUCGGAAUUACUGGGCGAAAGCGCGCGUAGGUGGUUUGUUAAGUUGGAUGUAAAUCCCCGGGCUCAACCUGGAACUGCAUUCAAAACUACUACAGAGAUGGAGAGGGUGGUGAAUUUCCUGUGAGCGGUAAAUGCGAGUAAGAAGAACACCAGUGGCGAGCACCACCUGGCAAUCUGACUGGGCAAA
rnacentral:rRNA from 1 species